CUGCAAGAUUAUGGAAAGACUCCUUCAGGAGAAACAGAAGUGCAGUUUAGACUGACAGGGUUACACUGGAGCCUAUGUUGAAAUCCAUGACUUACAUAAGUCAGCAGCUCUCAGCACCAGCUAGUAGAGUUGCUGUUAUCAAUCUGAAGCUCCAAGAUACAAAAACGACUACUGGAGAAACGAGGUGAAAUUUCAAGUUUCAAGAGAGACACUAGGCUCUAUGUUAAGAUCAAUGGCCUACAUUCGUGAGCAACUUUGAGAAUCUGCAAAAUCUAUUAAGCAAAGUGCUAAUCUAUCUCAUUGGGCAAAUAUUUAUUUGUGGCAGACACAGAAGCAGUAGCUAUCGAGGCAUUGAAGGCUUGAUCGUUUGGUUUGUGAUAAUUUGUGUACCGUGUUGAUGUUUUACUAUCAUCACAAUUUGGGUUAGUCGUGUUUAGGUAUUGUAAUUACUAACUUGUUUAGAUAGGAGACCCUUCGUUUCCAGUUAAGCGUGUGCUGGAAAAUUGUGUAAAUGUGAAAACCCUAGAAAUUUAUUCAAGGAGCAUUGAAGAUAUGUGUAUUUCAUCUUAGGCAAAUAGCUAGGUUUAGAUCUACGGAACAUGGCAGAAAUCUGUACUUCACGUUAGUGACUACACUGGGAUCUUCUAUAAUUUAUAUAAGGGUUACAGAUUGCUUGGCACUCUGCUAUUUUAACUA